CCUACGGGAGGCAGCAGUGGGGAAUAUUGCGCAAUGGGCGAAAGCCUGACGCAGCGACGCCGCGUGAGGGAUGAAGGUCUUCGGAUCGUAAACCUCUGUCAGCAGGGAAGAACGGUCACUGUGCUAAUCAGCAGUGAAUUGACGGCACCUGCAAAGGAAGCACCGGCUAACUCCGUGCCAGCAGCCGCGGUCAUACGGAGGGUGCGAGCGGUAAUCGGACUUACUGGGCGUAAACGGCACGUAGGCGGUACGGCAAGCCAAGGGUGAAAUCCCCGGGCUCAACAUUGGCACUGACUUUGAAACUGGCGAGCUGGAGUGUGUGAGGGGAUAGUGGAAUUCCAGGUGUAGGAGUGAAAUCCGUAGAUAUCUGGAGGAACACCAGUGGCGAAGGCGACUAUCUGGCACGUAACUGACGCUGAGGAGCGAAAGCGUGGGUAGCAAACAGGAUUAGAUACCCCAGUAGUC
rnacentral:rRNA from 1 species